rnacentral:rRNA from 1 species
UACGGGGGGGGCAAGCGUUUGUUCGGAAUUACUGGGCGUAAAGGGCUUGUAGGUGGCCAACUAAGUCAGACGUGAAAUCCCUCGGCUUAACCGGGGAACUGCGUCUGAUACUGGAUGGCUUGAGUGUGGGAGAGGGAUGCGGAAUUCCAGGUGUAGCGGUGAAAUGCGUAGAUAUCUGGAGGAACACCGGUGGCGAAGGCGGCAUCCUGGACCAUUACUGACACUGAGAAGCGAAAGCCAGGGGAGCAAACGGG